rnacentral:tRNA from 1 species
CCUUUCGUAGCCUAGUGGUCAAAGCAUUGGUGCAUAAAGCCAGUGGUCCCCGGGUUCGAUUCCCGGCGAGGGCG